AUGUUAAAAUCAAGUUAGGGGUUAAUUAGAAAUGAAGCUUUGUUUGUCGGGUCUCUCUCUCGACAUUGACGAAACCAAAGUCAGAGCAAUCUCCGAUCGAGAGUCGCCGUUGCCCGUAUCCACUCCAACAACAUAUCCUCCAUCACAGCCGCCUUCGAUUUCGUCACCUCCUCGUCAAGUCGCCAUCGUCCUUGUUGUGUAAACCCUAGGCGUGGGAAGAACCCUCUUUGUUUGGUUUUGGCUCCGACAAGAGAGCUUGUGCGUCAGGUUGAGAAGGAGUUCAGGGAAUUUGCUAACCAAAAAAUACCUGAAUAAUUCUUUGACGAUUGAUCUCGCUCAUGGUAAAGGAGGAAAAUUCAUUGUCAUUCCGGUGGUUAUGGUGGUGGUGGUAGUUGUAGAUAUGGUGGUGAUCGUUUAGGAGGAUCAGACAACCGUUAUUCUUGCGAUUCAGACCGUUCUUCUAGUUACAGGAGGUCGUUCAUCAGGUAUUGGGGGAUUUGGUUCAGGCCGUUCACAGUCAAGUUGAAAGAGCAGCUUUGGUGGUUUUGGAUUAAAAGAUCCUAACAGAUCUUACUGAGAAGUGUUGCGUGAGUUAUGAUCUGAGCCGGCAAUAAUGGAGGGCUUUGUGACUUGAGACUUUGAGUAGAGUUUAGUUAUAAGCUAUAUAAAAAUAUGUAGCUCCCUGCCUCAUAAAUAAACAUGUUUUAUUUUGAAGUUGUUGUCAUCAUUAAUUUAUUUUUUACACUGGUAGAAGAAUUGUUCCUUUCUAUUUGUAUUUGGCCACUUCCAUAACUUAGAACGAUUCUUUUGUCCA